rnacentral:tRNA from 1 species
UCCCUGGUAGUCCAGUGGUUAAGACGCUGUGCUCACGAUGCAGGGGGCCUGGGUUCCAUCCUUGGUCAGGGAA